GGUUGUGGCUCAGUGGUGGAGUGCUCGCCUAGCAUGCAUGAGGCACUGGGUUUGAGCCUCAGCACCA
rnacentral:tRNA from 1 species